GAGGAUAUAGCUCAGUGAUAGAGCGCAUGCUUAGCAUUUAUGAGGUCCUGGGUUCAAUCCCCAGUACCUCCA
rnacentral:tRNA from 1 species